CAGAGACACACAGAAGACACAGAGAAAAGGUGGCCAUCUACGAGCCACCUUCUACAAGAGAGGCCUCAGAAUGAACCCAACCCUGCUGACACCUUGAUCUUGGACUUCUAGCCACCAGAAUGGUGAGGACAUAAAUUCCUGUUGCUUAAGCCACCCAGUCUGUGGUAUUCGUUACAGCAGUCACAGAAAAAUAGUACACAGGCCUUGAGAAACAGACGUGAACACUGCUCCAAUCCCUGGAGUAACAGGGAUUCCUGUGAGCUGCCUGACUGCAGGCAGCACUGUCAGCAUCCCCAUCCCCCAGGAUCGCCUGGGACCUCCCUCUUAUCACAUCGCUCCACCUCAGCUCCUUGGCAGCCAGGCCUCCAGCGGGAGGCAGAGGGCAUCCUCAAGCUGGGCAAUUGGAGGAGCAUUUAAUGAAGGGGCUCUUUACAAAGGUGUGGGCAGGGUUUUGGGAGGUCAGAGAGGAAUGAUGCAGCCCUUCUGCAACCUCGCCUCACCCCAGGCCUGCAGGCAUGCGGAGGGAGUGCCCGCUGGAACCCAGGGCCAGGACAGGGCCUGUGCAGAGGAGUCCACCUUCAGCAAGACGGACCACCAAUACUCUGCGACUUAGAGAAGGAGACUGAGGAAUAAAUGCCCAGACCGUACUCCGCUCCUGCCCUCCUGGUUUCCUGCCAGAGUCUCCCCUUGUCUGAAGCCAACCUGAAGACACCCCUUGAGGACCCCUUCACUGUACUGGGACCAUGGGGGGCUGAGCCUCUGGGAUCAGUCACCUCCCUAACCUCCUGCAUGAGGAACAACUUGACGAACACACAUUUCAACCUGUAACAGGGUGGACAAGCAGAACCCUUCUUCAGAAGCACAUUUAUGAAGUUCCCGCAGUAACUGGCUCAGAGAGAAAUGCUGCUGUAACAGCUGAGAGAAAACUGAUAACCCUGAAAAUAAAGUGUCCAUGGAAAUCUCAUAUAUUGCCUAUUGUUUAAAAACAAUGUCUCACAUAAAA
rnacentral:lncRNA from 1 species